UCACAUGAAUGAGCAAAGAAAGUGGUUUCUUGAAACAAAAAACUAUUCUUGAUGAAGAUGCUGUGAA
rnacentral:pre_miRNA from 3 species